GCCUCUAUGGCACAGGGGUAAUGCGUGUCACUCGUAUAGCGUCAAGCUUGCGGUGUAAUGACAAGAUCCGCGGUUCGAUUCCGCGUGGAGGCA
rnacentral:tRNA from 1 species